UACGGAGGGUGCGAGCGUUAAUCGGAAUUACUGGGCGUAAAGCGUACGUAGGCGGUUUGUUAAGUCGGAUGUGAAAUCCCCGGGCUCAACCUGGGUGCUGCAUUCGAUACUGGCAGACUUGAAUACGGUAGAGGGGGGUGGAAUUCCAGGUGUAGCGGUGAAAUGCGCAGAUAUCAGGAGGAACACCGGUGGCGAAGGCGGUUCUCUGGGCAUUACCUGACGCUGAGGAGCGAAAGUGUGGGGAGCGAACAGG
rnacentral:rRNA from 1 species